ACGCUCGACACCUACGGGAGGAGCAGUGGGGAAUAUUGCACAAUGGGGGAAACCCUGAUGCAGCGACGCCGCGUGAGCGAAGAAGUAUUUCGGUAUGUAAAGCUCUAUCAGCAGGGAAGAAAAUGACGGUACCUGACUAAGAAGCCCCGGCUAACUACGUGUCAGCAGCCGCGGUAAUCUGAGCGGGCUGGCAAGGC
rnacentral:rRNA from 1 species